AAAGAGGGUGCUGUUGGGUUGGGUUUUCGGAAAUUAGUUUCGUCGCAGGUCAACUCGAGGGGGUACAAAUGCUGCACUGCACGCUCCAACUCUCCAUUGACUGUUCGUAACUUGGCUCCCCGCACGACGCCAUCUUUACCUUUAAUCAGCUCCGAGACUACCCCGAGUUUCCAUGUGUUCCGAUUUUUGUUUUCGCCCUGCACAAUAACCGCCGAUCCUUUUCUUGGGCAUGUCGCUUGUUUCCCCGCUGCGUUGACAUGACGUUCGCGUAAACUUCUUACGUACUCGCGAGACCAACGUCGCCACAUAGCUCGCUUGCAUGUUUUCAAAAAUUUCGCCCGCUUCCGAAGAUCACUUUCUUCCAAAUAUUUCGCUUUUAGUUCAGGUAAUUGACUUGCUGGGUUGAUAUUCAACAUAGAGUUGGGCGUUAAGACUGGAAGCUCGACAUCAUCCUCGAGGUAAGUCAAAGGGCGAUUGUUGAGAGCCACC